rnacentral:rRNA from 1 species
CGAUGUGGGGAAUAACCCCUCGAAAGAGGAGCUAAUACCGCAUAAGCUGUACAAUGUGGGUUGUACAGGAAAUGCCACCUUUAUCGCAAGAUGAGGGAGGUAGCAACAGGAGGGAUCUGCGGCGGAUUAGCUAGAUGGUGGGGUAAAGGCCUACCAUGGCGACGAUCCGUAGCUGGUCUGAGAGGACGACCAGCCACACUGGGACUGAGACACGGCCCAG